CUCAACAUCUUAUGCUUCCAGAGAAAAUACCACAUCUGCCCGAAGAACAGAUAAGGCAAAUGAAAAUGAUACAUUGAAGCAUGUGGAGACAAGCACAACAAGCACGUGUCGAUUCAUCCGCUACUUCUUCAAAAUCACAAGUAUCUCAUCUCAUCAGGGUUGCAAUCACUCUGGGUUUGAUGGACUUGUUUUGACCCUCAAAUUCUUGGGUCGACUCGCUAGGCAUUAUGAGCUGCACAUGCCGAUUCACCACCCUUGCAUCAAAUCCUUAAAGAUCAAGUCACCAACUGGAAGAAGAGCCCAUCAAUCUUGAAGAUCAUACCGUUGACCAAACUACUCAGGUGUAAAUUAGAAAGAUUGAACAAACAACAAGUCGUCACCUUCACCUCAUGCCUGCUUGCCAUGUGUUCGAGUCAACCUUCAAGAAUCAAGCCUCAACGGCCCUUGAAGAAGCUUCCAGCCAAAUUUAAGAUCAAGCCUCGACGACCCUUGAAGAAAUCACAAGUACGAUUUAAGAUCAAGUGUCCAUCACCCUUGAAUCAAAUCCAACUCCACAUAAAAAAAAGUAAGUUCAAACAAUCAGAGGAAGCCAGAAAGUCCUCCAACCCCGUUCAAGAAUAAGCUAUGAAAAGUCAACAAUUGGAGGAAACCAAAAAAUCCUCCAACCCAGUUCAAGAAUAAGCCUGUGGAAAGUCAACAAUUGGAGGAAUCUAGAAAAUCCUCCAACCCAGUUCAAGAUCAAAGCUGUGGAAAGUCAACAAGCGCAACAAAAUACGUGCCAAUUCAUCCACUACCAAAGCCAAAGAUCAUCUACCACAUGAAGCUCUUUGUGGUCCAAUUUCAACCUUCAAGAUCA
rnacentral:lncRNA from 1 species